UGUUCAUCACCACCACCAUUAAUACUGC
rnacentral:sRNA from 1 species